rnacentral:rRNA from 1 species
UAAGGAAUAUUGCUCAAUGGCCGAAAGGCUGAAGCAGCAACGCCGCGUGAGGGAUGAAGGGCUUUUGCUCGUAAACCUCUGUAAAAUGGGAAAAAUAUCUUGCUUUGCGAGAUUGAUUGUACCAUUAGAGUAAGCCCCGGCUAACUACGUGCCAGCAGCCGCGGUAAUACGUAGGGGGCAAGCGUUGUCCGGAUUUACUGGGUGUAAAGGGUGCUCAGGCGGAUUAGUAAGUCAGAGGUGAAACCCCGAAGCUUAACUUCGGAACUGCCUUUGAUACUGCUAGUCUAGAGUUUGGGAGAGGCGAGUGGAAUGUCUGGUGUAGCAGUGAAAUGCGUAGAUAUCAGACAGAACACCAAUGGCGAAGGCAGCUCGCUGGUCCAAUACUGACGCUAAAGCACGAAAGCGUGGGGAGCAAACAGG